UUGUAUGUGGGUCACUGCCACAGCAUGGCUGAUGAAUGUUGUAGGUCCACACUUGGGAUCUGAACCCACAAGCCUGGGCCUUCAAAGUAGAGUGCACUGAACCCAUCCACCAUGCCACGGGGCUGGCCCCUAGAGUUUCAUAUUUCAUCAUUGAAUUCUCUAGCAGCAGAUGUAUGUACAGGAACUUGGAGAAAUACAUCCAAAUGGAAAUAUGGAGUGAUUAGAGACCUGUUUAUACAUAGCCCUUCAAGUCUUCGCAUUGGAGAGAGGUGAAUAUUUUACUCUGGAGUCAGAUUCACUUACUUUACCUCGAGCCUCCAGACUAACACAAGACUCUAUUGACUUGUCCCAGGUUGUGAGUAGACUAGGUUUGCCAUAAAUACAUGGUAGAAUGAGGUGUGGUAUUAGAAGAACAAAAGUAGACCAGAGAGGUGGAGUUGUCUAAGGUGACAAUGGUUCAUUCUUUCAUGGAAGGUGUGUGAUCUGGAUAUCUCUAAUUACAGUCCAUUCCCUUGAAUACAGAGGCAUCCCUGGAGCUUCACAGGAUCCAUAUAUCCUGUGGAAUUGAAGAUUUAGUUGUGAGCCUUUACAGGAGUGAUAUGUAGAUAGGCCAACCUUUUCCAAUGGAAAGUUACAGUGAUGAAGUAGGAGGAGCUGGAUUUAGGUAGAAAAUUUUGAGUCUUUCUAAGUCAGGCACCUUCCAGUGUCAUAAUCUCAAUGGAGUUCAGGCACAGUCCCACAGUCCUACUUAGGGGACAGCUCUGUGAGAAAAAUGCCCACGAAUGGCACAAAGGGGUGCUAACUUUCUAGAUCUGCAUGAGUUGGGUUAGGACUGAAUAGCCAAAAACAGGAAUAGGAAGGGCAUUGUUUUGUAUCAUUUCCUUGUUGAGAUGCAAAUGGUCUUGGAACAUCAUUUUGGGAUGGUGUAUCUCUCAGCAUCAGAGUCUGGGAGGAAGAACAGAGAGAUGGAAAAUUUGUAGAGUAUCAACACCGUGUGAGUAGAUUUCAAAGAGGGUAAUAUGAAAUUAUAAGACGGAGGCCUAAGGAUCAAGAUUAGAGAAAGAUAUUUAGAAAUAAAUUCUGCAGAAGAGGCUAAGUGAAUGAUUGGGUAUGGAGCAAUCACAUUGAGAGCAUUUUUUUUACUGAUGUUGUACUGCCUCAAGAUAGUCCAAGCUUGAGGACUUUGCUCUCAAUAGUUGCCUGGAAUAGCAGAGGAAUGGAAGAGAAAAUCUCUCUGUAGAAUUUUCUUAAGAAAUUCAAAAUUUAACUUGUGCAUUGACCUUAUAAGGGAAAUGAAAAUGCACAGAAAAGCCCUUUGGGUGCUAGUUUCAGAAGGGAAAUACUAGAAAAUAGAAAAAAGCCACAGAAUUUACAGAAAAAAUAGGAAAUUCCAUGCUUAGUGGAUAGUCGUAUUUAACGAAGUUUGGAACAUAUGAUUUUCCAUCAGAAUGUCAGUAACAACAUUUAAGUGAACUUAGGUCUGGAUGUCCUGUAUUGAGUAAAAACGGCAGCUGCUAAUUUCUGUGAGUUCAAUUAGGGAGACACAGGGGACAAUUAGCUUGAUCUUAGAAAGAUGGCACUUGUUGCUUAUCCAACUGGUUCAGGAUGAUUUAAUCAAUAGCAGAUAGGGAUGGAUUUGCUUUUGGGAGAUUGUUGUCUGAAGACUAGGUUGGAGCACAUAUUCCUAUGGUGAAUAUUUCCAGUCCAGUACACUUCACAAAGUUCUCUGGAUUGUUGUUUUCUAUUGUUUUAGAUUGUUCUCUUUUCCUAUACCCACAGCUAACUCUCAGUCUUGGAAACUGGCAUCGCCAAGAGGAUGGGUCUUGGAUCCAUGGCUAUUCCAGAGUCAAGGCCCUGACAGUCACCAGUGCUGCUUUAAGGGCAGAUAACGUGUGGAUAACAAGAAGUGACAGGGUGAUGUGAAGUACUGAUCAGGUAUCACUGACAUACAGUAGAGUCAGCAUUAGAACGAACAAUUAUGGCUGAUGAAGGCCUAAAAACCAAUCAAUCUGUCUUUAAGUUCAUCUUCCCAAACUGCAAAGUGAAGCAUUUAGACAAAUGUCUGUAGAGAUUUGAAUUCAGAAAUUCGAUAUGGAAUGGCUCCGAUAACUCUCUUUGCAACAGAAUCAACAUGAAUCAACCCAAAGAAUGCUGUUUAAAGAAAUAUCUUUUGUAGUCCCCAAAUGUGGCUACAAGAGCAUGAGGAAAGGCCAGUUUAACCCAAGGAUGAAUAGCAGUGAGUGAGAGGCCAGCAGCUAGGGAUCACCUCUUCUGGUCUGGUCAACUUCCUGGCAUCCUUUCAGGGUCACUGAAAAAGGAGGGGUGGCUACCUGUUGUGUUCAUCACUGGGGGUACAGUAGGCAGGCUGAGGAUUUCCCUGGGAAAUGACACUUUACCUAGACGGUUUUUGUACAGGUCUCUGUGGGUUUUGUAUCACUGUGGUAUCCCACUCCUCACAGUGUUACUGAGUUUUACAAAAACCACCCCUUGGUUUCUCCCUAUGUGGCCUUUGAGAACUCCUGGGGCUUGAUGCUUUCUCCAAGUCAAGCAAGAUCAAAGGGUUUUGGCGGUUAGGUGCUGGCAGCCUCACCCAGGUGCUUCUGUCUGAAGCUCUACCAGCUGGCUAGAUCUGCCCUGCAUUUUGCCACUAGAAUGGACUUUCAGAAAUCAUCCUGCCCACUCCCAUCUGUGCUUUCUUGCCAGUCUACUCUCACAUGGCUUCCCACAGAGGAAUUCGUCAUAUAUCUGAAUGUCUCAAGUGAAUUCUAUGUCCUCUAUAUUAGGUGGAAAAUGUUUGUAGUUAGUGUAAUAUCUCCUGUUACCUACUCAUCUUCAGAAUCACCUCUGCCUACCCCACUUUACACCUGAGCAGGGUUAUACAGUUUACAAAGGGCUUUCACAUAAAUUGAAAAUGUUCUCCUCUCCAUGGACUCUCUGGUUGCUAAAUUCAUGGCCUGCAGCCCAUAUGGUGCUUUGUGUGGUUUACAAAAGAUAAGCCCUGCUGUGUGAGUGCAGAGGCAGCCCUGAGAGUUCAAGCUUGGCAAUGAGAUGGCACCUUUGUGUGCCUUAUAAACAUUCUCCUUUAUCCAGUUGAUGCUGCUCUGCACCAGGGCCUUGGCUCGGCAGGCAGAAAAUGGGAGGAAUUUUAGCCCCACUGUCCUCUUGGCUGAGCACCCAUGUGCAAGGCACAAUCUGUGCAACUAGAGACAGUGGCUCCUGACAAAUUCUAUUGAUGCUUUUUACUUAUAUUCUUGUUUGACCUCUGAGCUUUGACAUAGGCAUUCUCAUUUUGAAAACUGUCCUCUGGUGCUCUUAAGAAACCUGUCUUGGUUCGCCUUUGAUCUCUGUGUCUAUCACUGUGAAAAUAAAGUCGUAUGCUAGGCUUACUGAGAGUGAUCUUACUAAAUGUUAAUUUAAUAAGGAGAGUGUGAAUUUUGCUGUUGUUGUUAUCAAAAGGGAGCACGAUUGAAAAAAGAUUGACUCCACACUUCCCGUGGUGGAUCUUACCUAAAUCCAUGGAUUAAUGGAUAACAUUUUUAUCACAAUUCCACUUACAAUCAUUGUGACAAUUCCUUCCCACCUUACAUUAGACCCUGCAUGCCUGUCCCGUAAACUCAAAGCAACUUCAUCUGCAUAUACAGAGUCUAACACUCAUUUGCUAGUUAAAAACCCAAAAAACAAAGGAGAAGAGGAAAAGAAGAAAUGCUAUGUUCUUGGUAACAAACAAUGUAAUAGAGGAUGGCUUAGGGCAGAAAGAAGGACAAUGUGGGCCUCGUGGGGAGGGCCAGGUGAGAAAGAAGAAUUGUAAUUUGCACUCUUGAGUAUAGCUGGUUUUAUGUGCUGGUCUCUGAAAUGGCAAAAGGUGGGUGGUUACUGUGUUGAAUAAUAAAUUAAGCUUCUGAUUAAUCCCUGUGAGACUCAUUGACUCCCUCCUGGCGCUGGUGUACAGAUGUUCCCAAGCAACCCUCAGAAAGUGGUUUGAAUAGAACAAGUUAUAGGCAACACAAAGUUGGGAAUGAAAGGCAAUUAAAAUCUUGAGUAAUACCAAAACUUAAACUAUGAAACCUGUGGGUCUGGGCCAGUGAAUUUUAUAAUCCUGUGGCUGUGGCAGAGAAUUUGAGGAUGAUGCAUCCAGAUGAAAAUACAGAAGUUAUGGGUCCCAAUUUUCACUCUCUCUCUGCAACAGAAGUACACCUUCAUGUACUUUGUCACCUGACUUUACAGGGCAUCCUACUACAGGGAGAGUACAAAUCCCACUCCAUUGACUUUGGGCCUUGGCCAUUCUUUGAUCCAGAGAAUGUGGUUGGAAGUCACAGUGUGCCAGUUCUAAGCUAAGGCUCUAAGAAGCAUCCCAUCAUGGAUUUCCAUGAGCACUCUUGAAGCCAAGUUCUGCUGGCUUGCAGACCAAUGAGCAAAAACAACAUACAUUUGAUGUUGUAAGCAACUGAAAUUUUGGGGUUGUUUUUUAUAGAUUGUAAUCAUAGCAGAAAUAGAUGAUUCAUACUGAUGCUAACCAUGGGGGGGACCCCAAGUAUGAAAUUGUAUGCUUAAAAUUUCUGGUGGCUCCCCUUGUCUUCAAGAUAAAAUGGUACAAAACAUGGUUUUUUGCUUACCUCCUGGGCCUACAUCUUGUACUUUUCCACUUGCUCCCUUACUCAGCUGCAUUCAACGACUUGCUUUCAGAAGGCUCCAUGUUCUUUCAAACCUCUUUGCCUAUGCUGUGUGAUUGUUUUGCCUGAGAUGCCCUUUCCUUCUUCUAUUCUCCAAUUUGGUUCUUAACCAACCUCCUUAGAUCCUGUUCAUUUUCUGGUCUUAGCUUAUCUGUUGACUUCCCUGGGAAGUCCUUAAUGGUGGUGUGAGGGAUCAGAAUUGGCCACCCCAAAAUCUGUCUCUUUGGCUUGAUUAUUUUUAAGAACAAAAGACUCUGAAAAAACUUUGACCUUUCCCCUAACUGCCUGAAAGAAUUUAAGAUAGAAGGCCUGUUCCAGGAAGGAACUGAUACCAUAAGAUAACUAUAGUAUAAUGUAAAGUCAGUGUGAUAGGAAGGUACCAACAAGCCCAUUUUUAUCAAAGUUUUGCCUACAGGUGGCUCUGCAAACACUUGUUUAACAAACACUUGCAUUUGCAUCUCCAUGUAAAUUGUCUUCCUCCCUUUUGAAGACCCAAACCACUACCACAACACCCUCCUUUUCUUUAGCCGAACAUGGUAUUUAAGGUGGCAGCUUUGGCUUUCCUGGGUUUCUCCCAUGUAUACAUGCUAUUAUAUUUUGUUUUAUUUUUUCCUGUUCUUCUGUCUCAUGUCGAUUUAAUUUUUGGACCAGCCCGAAGUAUCUAGAGGAGAGAGGAAUUGUCUUCCUCCUCUCCAGUUUGGUGAUGAAGGUGGAAUAAAACUUCACUGGCUGGACACUGCUUGCUCCUGGACUACUGCAACUAAGAGAUCCUGGAUCCCUGACAAGAGCUGGCAAGAGAUUUAAAAAGAGCAAUUCGACUUGGUGUGUCAACUGGUGAUGGAAAUCCCAGGAUGAGGGGAUUAAUCCCUGUGCUCUUGGAUCAAAAUAUGCAGGGUCAAGAGAAAAACGAAAGAGAGCCCAGGAUGUGACUCUUCCCAAUGCUGAGACAUACAGAGUGGAUUACAGCUGAGUGUUUUUGAACAAAGGCUUAAUAAACUUCAACCUCCGUGGUACCGAGUACUGAAGUCACAGUGAAAUACAGCAGUACAAAAACCCUCUUCUUCUUUUUCACUGUUUCUUGGCAUUUUGCCAUCACCAACCUCUGCCAUCGGAAUACCUCAAAAAUCUUUCACCAAUGCUGUUAUUGUGGUUAAAUGCUAUAAAACUCACAGGCACAGAAUGAUUACAAUCAUACAAAUCAAUGAGUAAAACACUAAAAACCUAAAAAAUUAAUGGGCAAAGGGCAAAUGCAGAAAUUCACUUAUUGAUCAACAAACUUUGAAAAAUGUUUUAACUCUCUGGUAAUAAAAAUGCAAAUAAAGAAUUAAGAAACCAUUUUUUUUUGUACAGAUAUCUAAGCAAUCCUUUUAGAAAAAAGUGAUGUUCUCAAUGCCGGCAAGAUGUUGGUAACAAUAUAAAUUGUUGUAUUUUUAUUGGAAACCAAUUAGUUUAUACCAACAGGGUGAAAAUAUUUAUACUAGUUUGAGCAAAUAGUAGCACUUUGGCAAAUUGACUUUAAGAACAUACUAUACCUGUUUGAAUAUAAAGUAAGGUUUAUCAUUGUCAGAGAAAAGAGAAUCCCCAUAAAAUGGAUUCCUUAUAAAAAUUACAAAAAGCAAUAUUACAAUGCUUUCACGCAAUUAUUUUAUUUUGCACAAUUAAGUAGAGUUUAGCGAAGACACAUUAACCUGGGAUGAUCUCAUUCAAUGCUGGUUCAUAGAUACUCACGCAAGUCAGCUGAUGAGGUUAGUAAAAAGGUGACUAAGUAAUUUAACAAAAACUUAGUAACUAUUCUUGCAAAUAUGUCUUUGAAAUUACAAAUAUUCAAUCUUGUUUAAAUAAAUCUUUUAAAGGAAA